rnacentral:rRNA from 1 species
UACGGAGGGUGCAAGCGUUAUCCGGAUUUACUGGGUUUAAAGGGUGCGUAGGAGGGCAGGUAAGUCAGUGGUGAAAUCUCCGAGCUUAACUCGGAAACUGCCGUUGAUACUAUCUGUCUUGAAUACCGUGGAGGUGAGCGGAAUAUGUCAUGUAGCGGUGAAAUGCUUAGAUAUGACAUAGAACACCAAUUGCGAAGGCAGCUCACUAAACAAGCAUUGACGCUGAGGCACGAAAGCGUGGGGAUCAAACAGG